rnacentral:rRNA from 1 species
AUUGAACGCUGGCGGCAGGCUUAACACAUGCAAGUCGAGCGGAGAGAGGUAGCUUGCUACCGAUCUUAGCGGCGGACGGGUGAGUAAUGCUUAGGAAUCUGCCUAUUAGUGGGGGACAACAUUUCGAAAGGAAUGCUAAUACCGCAUACGUCCUAUGGGAGAAAGCAGGGGAUCUUCGGACCUUGCGCUAAUAGAUGAGCCUAAGUCGGAUUAGCUAGUUGGUGGGGUAAAGGCCUACCAAGGCGACGAUCUGUAGCGGGUCUGAGAGGAUGUUCCGCCACACUGGGACUGAGACACGGCCCAGACUCCUACGGGAGGCAGCAGUGGGGAAUAUUGGACAAUGGGCGCAAGCCUGAUCCAGCCAUGCCGCGUGUGUGAAGAAGGCCUUAUGGUUGUAAAGCACUUUAAGCGAGGAGGAGGCUACUUUAGUUAAUACCUAGAGAUAGUGGACGUUACUCGCAGAAUAAGCACCGGCUAACUCUGUGCCAGCCGCCGCGGUAAAAC